CAUUCUGCUUGGCAGAGUCAUCGGUAGAGUAGCUGCUGAUCCCAGCAAGGCAGGGUGGGUGAUGGGAAGGGAUUAGAUUAGGAAGAAAAGGGAUCCUCUUGUUCUCUCACUGAGGGGACUUUAAACCUGCAGAAGCACAUCAGUGAGCGGACUAUGGGAAGGGCGAGAGGACCAAUGAAUAACCAACUUUCUGGAACGGAGGUCUUAGGACCUACAGUCAAACAAAAAUCGUGCCCUCAGAUCCUUCUGACAGUGUGCCAGAUAUCCAGCAUCACCUUUGCAGUUUGGGAAGUGGCACCCAGCAUCCACCCAGCGUGCCUUUCUUGAUCUUGUCCAUGGUGCUGAGAUUCUGUGUGGCCCCCAUGCGGUUGGUCUCGCUCCAUGGGUCUCCAUCCAGGGUGAUGCCCACCCUCCUACCACCUGUGAACAUUUGGUAAUAUCUAGAGACAUUGCUGGUUUCCACCAUUGGGAGUGGGUGCAACUGGCAUCUAGUGGGAAGAGGCCAGGGAUGAUGCUGCACAUCCCAUGUUGCAUAGACCCCCCUCCCACAGCAAAGAAUGAUCUUGUUAAAUGUCAGUAGUGCUGAUGGUACACAGACGAUGUCCCACAGCAAAGAAUAAUCUUUUUAAAUGUCAGUAGCAUCAAGGUUGGGGAAC